GACGAACGCUGGCGGCGUGCUUAACACAUGCGAGUCGAACGGAAAGGCCCUGCUUGCAGGGUACUCGAGUGGAGAACGGGUGAGUAACACGUGGGUGAUCUGCCCUGCACUUCGGGAUAAGCUUGGGAAACUGGGUCUAAUACCGGAUAGGAGCCAUCUUUAGUGUGGUGGUUGGAAAGUUUUUUCGGUGUAGGAUGAGCUCGCGGCCUAUCAGCUUGUUGGUGGGGUAAUGGCCUACCAAGGCGGCGACGGGUAGCCGGCCUGAGAGGGUGUACGGCCACAUUGGGACUGAGAUACGACCCAGACUCCUACGGGAGGCAGCAGUGGGGAAUAUUGCACAAUGGGCGCAAGCCUGAUGCAGCGACGCCGCGUGGGGGAUGAAGGCCUUCGGGUUGUAAACUCCUUUCGCUAGGGACGAAGCUUUUUUGUGACGGUACCUAGAUAAGAAGCACCGGCUAACUACGUG
rnacentral:rRNA from 1 species